AUCCGUCACUUGUUGACAGUGGCUGACCCUCCCUCCCUGCCUCCCUCCCCGUCCCGACCCUCCCCCAUCAUCCGCUACGUACGCUUCGGCCUUGCGUUUCACAAGAGAGUGAAAAUAAACUGCGGGCCCGAUCGCACGCACGCACGCACGCACAGCAGAGCAACAACAAAUCAGUACGGCCGGAGAACAAGACCGGGAUCCAACAUGCGGGCCGGCGGGCACGGCAUCGCCGGACGGACGGUGACGUCGGAGCAGCACGCAGGAAGCGCAUUCCGUCCCCUGCGCAGUCGCUGAUGUUUGUUUAAACUGAAUCACAUCUCCUCCCGCUGCACCCUCGCCCCCAGCGUGGCCUGCGACAAGUCGACACGCCGGGUCCCUCCGGAGCCCUCAUGACUCAUCGCGCUUGACUGCUUGUAUCGGGAUCAUCUCGACCACUCCUUCCCGGUGCUCGGAGGAUGACGUAGGGCAUUUUGAUUCCGCGUUUGGACGCUGAAUUCGUCUCAUGAUGACUUACAUGAUGGCAAACAAUCAAAAUACAUUCUGCAAUCAACUCCUUUAUCUUGAUCGACGGCUACAUUUAAAAGCUGUUGCUCUGGCCCAUGCAGCACCCCUCAGUAAAGGUCAACAGAUCAAUGUGUGGUAGU